rnacentral:rRNA from 1 species
GUUAAUAAUUUUAUUAAUAUGUCGUAGGAAAAGUAGUUUUUUGUCUAGGGUUUUUAAUGGGAGGAUUAUUUUAAUGAUAGUUUAUUUGUACAGUGUUGGGUUGACUUAGAUUUUUGGAAGAAUAUUUUAUUUGUGGUACCUUUUGUAUCAGGGUUGAUUAAAAUUUUUUUUAUAUUAAAUUUUCCCGAAUUGUUAAGAGCUAAGAGUAUAUAUAUAUUACUGUGGCAUAAUUAUUUGGAAUAUACUUUUUGUAGUUAGAUGUUAUUCGUUUUUCAAGAUAUCUGGUUUUUUGGGAAAUUAAUUUAAUUAAGUUUAUCGUUGAAUUAAUCUAUUUAUGGGGUUUAUAUUUGAGUUUACUUAAUAUUCAAGGGGAUAAGCUUUUGAAUAAAUUAAUAUAAUAAUUUUUGUUUUUGAUUUGUAGUAGGAAUAGAAGUUUUUAUCUGUUUAAGUGUGUUAUUACUUGUUGUCUUUGAAUAUAAUUUUUUAUUUGUUUAUAUUUUUUACUGGAAUGGAUAUUGAAAUUUGAAUUGUUUUGUAAUAAUGAUUAAAUUAGUAUAAGAUUUUGUAUACUUACUUUCUUAAGGUAAGGUUAUUGAAAGGAACUCGGCAAUUAAAUUUUCUGCCUGUUUAUUAAAAACAUGGCCUUUUGUUAAUAAUAUAAGGUCUGACCUGCUCUAUGAUUAAUUAAAUGGCUGCGGUAUUUUGACCGUGCAAAGGUAGCAUAAUCAUUAGUUUUUUAAUUGGAAGCUGGUAUGAAUGGUUGGACAAGAAAGUAUCUGUCUCUAGAUAAUUUUAUUUGAAUUUUAUUUUUUAGUGAAAAGGCUAAAAUGGUUGUGAGGGACGAGAAGACCCUAUAGAAUUUUAUAUAAUUAUUAUGAUGGAAUUUUUGGUAUAUUUUAUUUAGUUGUGAUAAUUUUAUUUUGUUGGGGUGAUGGGAAAAUUUGAUUAACUUUUUUUUAUGUUGUGCAUUGAUUUAUGUUUAUUUGAUCCAUUUUUUAUGAUUAUAAGAUUUAAUUACCUUAGGGAUAACAGCGUAAUUAGUUUGGAGAGUUCUUAUCGAUAAUCUAGUUUGCGACCUCGAUGUUGGAUUAAAAUUAAUUAUUGGUGUAGGAGCUAAUAAAUUGAGUCUGUUCGACUUUUGAAAUUUUACAUGAUCUGAGUUUAAACCGGCGUGAGCCAGGUUGGUUUCUAUCUUCAUAAAUUUAAAGUAUUUUAGUACGAAAGGACCAAGUGCUUGCUUUAUAAGUUUUAUUUGA